rnacentral:lncRNA from 1 species
UAACCUUAUCGAUUUCAUUCAAACAUAAACCCUAAUCUUCUUAAGGUGAACCUUCUUCUCCCAUUGCAGCCAUUAGCGCCACCAUCAAUAUUGAAGACUGAAUUUGUUUGAGAAAUUAUUCUUCCAUGGCGAGAUCUGAAGCGGUAAAAUAAAAUCCUAAAUUUCUUAACGUGGUUAUAACAUUCUUCUUCUCCGACGCAGGCUUCACCGAUUUGAAUAUAGAAGGGUGCAACACUAUGUUUUGUACAACUCUAAGUUAAGCUCUAAGUUUUGUAAGUUUGAGAUUGCUAGGGACCAUGCUAGAAACUUAUGUGCCAAGGUGGGUACUCUAUUCUUCUCAUUUUCUACUUGUAAUGUAUGUUCCUUUUCAUUAGUUAAUUAUUACUUCAAAACAUCAUUUUAGUACUAAUAUAAUGAUGUUAAAGUAACCUAUAUAGAUUUGUUUGCUUUCUGUACCAUGGCUAAAAAAGCCUGCAAAGCUACAAUUUUUAUGAUCAUGGUGAGUUAUGGAUUGUCCAUGUAACAGAGAAGUAAUGCUACUUAGUAUAACAAUUAUAAUUGUAAGCCUUUGUAUUCCUUUGAUAUUUCUACUUUCAUUACUAUCACUUGACACUUGCUGUGAACUUAUUGUAUUAUUAACAUGAUAUAUAGCAGUAAGCUUUGCUUGGAUGCUUCACACAACUUUGUUAAAAUUAACACACAACUAAUUUCAUAUCUAGACUUUAGAACAUAAAUAUUUAAUGUUAUCUCUAAGCUUCAGUUACGCCUUAGUCAUAGAACAUAUACUUUUGUCACUAGCCAAUUUGUCAAUGAAACAAAUCUUUGUUCUUAUUCUCAUCAAUCAUUCUUAGAUACAUACACAUAUACAUUAUAUUAUAUUUAAGAUAGAUUACCUUAUUCAAUUUCAACCCUUCUAUUUUGUUAUUACAUGUUAACUAUACAUAUACAUUAUAAUAUAUUAUAUUUAAGAUAGAUUAUAGACCUUGCAAUUUGUAUGAUCAUAGCAGCAAUAACAAAACAGCUUAGUCUAAGACUUCAGCUUAGUCUGAGAGUUCCAAUAGACCUUUGUGACUGCUCCCGCAACUCUCAAACUCUACAUCCAUGAUUGCUAAGACAAAUUCUUUCAUAUGUUCCCUUCUUUUGUUUUGCAUGUAAUAAGUUGGCAGAAAGCAUUGUGAAAACAUAUGUUCCCUUCUUUUUACAUGAACAUUGGCCAAAGGUCACUCUUAUUAUUAUUACCUGGAUGUUGAUAUGAAAUGCAUCAAAUGAAUGGUUGUAUUUGCUCUAAUUUUUCUCUCAUAUUGAAGUUUUAUCAAAACCUGGAUAUUAAUAUGAAACACAACAAAUAAAUGAUGAUAAUAAUACUAUCUCUUGAUUAGAGACGUAAUAAAUAUAUGUCUAUUAUUAUGAUUAACAUGAACUGUUGUUUUAUAUUUUUUGCAUUCUUAUCUCUUUAGCAGAUCUAUCUCAUCAACAAAAUAUAUACCACAGAGUGAGUCAUUAGAUGUUGUCCCUUGUUUUUAUUUUGCUUGCUCCAUCCUAUCUCAUUACACGUUAAUAGUUUCUUGGUUCAUGUGUUACUUUUUGUAGAUGUGAUUUCUACAAUUAUUCAAGGAAUAUGGCUUGGUUGAAGUGCAAACUUGAACACCGUGAAGACCAACCAACUAGUGAGUCUGAAGAGCAGUUUUGGAAAUCAAGUUGAGUAAGAAUAAAAAUCAAGUUUUUGCAUAGUGGGGGUCAAAUUUUGGGCUGUAAAAAGUAUUUGAUCAAGCAUGUCUAUUUUGGCAUUGUUUUAUUAGAGAUACGCAUAUACAAUCAUUACAGACAAGUGUACUUAUUUGAUCACAUGAUUUUGUUUUAAUAUGAUCUUGUAUACAAUUGUAUAAACUCAUUUAAUAUUAUAAAAACAAUAUGUAG